CAUUAUACAGCGAAACUGCGAAUGGCUCAUUAAAUCAGUUAUCGUUUAUUUGAUAGUACCCUACUACAUGGAUAACCGUGGUAAUUCUAGAGCUAAUACAUGCUAAAAAUCCCGACUUCGGAAGGGAUGUAUUUAUUAGAUUAAAAACCAAUGCCCUUCGGGGCUUCCUGGUGAUUCAUAAUAACUUCUCGAAUCGCACGGCCUUGCGCCGGCGAUGGUUCAUUCAAAUUUCUGCCCUAUCAACUUUCGACGGCUGGGUCUUGGCCAGCCGUGGUGACAACGGGUAACGGAGGGUUAGGGCUCGACCCCGGAGAAGGAGCCUGAGAAACGGCUACUACAUCCAAGGAAGGCAGCAGGCGCGCAAAUUACCCAAUCCCGACACGGGGAGGUAGUGACAAUAAAUACUGAUACAGGGCUCUUUUGGGUCUUGUAAUUGGAAUGAGUACAAUUUAAAUCCCUUAACGAGGAACAAUUGGAGGGCAAGUCUGGUGCCAGCAGCCGCGGUAAUUCCAGCUCCAAUAGCGUAUAUUAAAGUUGUUGAGGUUAAAAAGCUCGUAGUUGAACCUUGGGCCUAGCCGACCGGUCCGCCUCACCGCGUGCACUGGUUCGGUUGGGCCUUUCCUUCUGGAGAACCUCAUGCACUUCACUGUGUGUGUUGGGGAACCAGGACUUUUACUCUGAACAAAUUAGAUCGCUUAAAGAAGGCCUAUGCUCGAAUACAUUAGCAUGGAAUAAUAGAAUAGGACGUGUGGUUCUAUUUUGUUGGUUUCUAGGACCGCCGUAAUGAUUAAUAGGGACAGUCGGGGGCAUCAGUAUUCAAUUGUCAGAGGUGAAAUUCUUGGAUUUAUUGAAGACUAACUACUGCGAAAGCAUUUGCCAAGGAUGUUUUCAUUAAUCAGGAACGAAAGUUAGGGGAUCGAAGACGAUCAGAUACCGUCGUAGUCUUAACCAUAAACUAUGCCGAUUAGGGAUCGGGCGGUGUUAUUUUUUGACCCGCUCGGCACCUUACGAUAAAUCAAAAUGUUUGG
rnacentral:rRNA from 1 species